rnacentral:misc_RNA from 1 species
UUUCCGUAGGUGAACCUGCGGAAGGAUCAUUAUUGAGAGGGGUCCUUCGGGGCCCGACCUCCAACCCUUUGUCUACCAAACCUCUGUUGCCUCGGCAUGGACGUCGCGUUCUUCGGGACCGCCGUUGGCUUCGGCCUUCGAGUGCCUGCCGGGGGUUUUAAAACUCAACAUUUUGAAACGAGAAUUCUAAAGUGGGAUUUAAUGCUUCUAUAAAACUUUUAACAACGGAUCUCUUGGUUCUGGCAUCGAUGAAGAACGCAGC